GUUUGAGUGAUGCACAGGGUAGUUGGUUCCGGGCGAAGGGGGCUGUUUCGUUGCCAUGCCAUCGUGCUGCGCGCCGAGGGCCGGUUCUGCUACGCUAGCCGGGCCGGCAGGGAGACUCUCCGUGCCAAAAGAGAGGUCUUCAGGAGGAAGUUGUUGGAAAACAGGGUUCAUAAUGGAAACUGUUGCAAUUUCAACCUUGCUAUUGCCGCUAGCUAGGGUAACUGGAAAAGUAACGGUACCGUUCAAAAGUUACCUAAGUAUUAACAAUCUGAUUUCGACUGGCCUUUGGGGAUGUUGACGAAAAAUGUAAGGUUGUUCAACAUAGUGCAAGCUGUUCAGAAGAAAAGUGGAGAAUUUGAUACAUGCUUAUAUUUUGAGACUGGUGAUGAAAGAAAAUUGAUUAUUGCAUCGGAGCCAAGUGCUGUAUUGCCCAGGCUAAGGGUGGCUUAUCAACAGAUCAUGUCCUGAUUUUGCCUAUUGGGCAUUACCAGUCAGUGGCUGAACUUUUUGCAGAGGUGGUGGAAGAAGUAAACAAGUGUUGUUUGAAAGAAAUUACCAGAGUCCUCACCUACAGUUGCAGGUGAUUCCUAUACCACUCACUGUUGUGCUACUGAAGACAUUAAAGAGUCCUCUAUUGUACAAGUGCAAGAAUAACUGAUCGAAUUACUAGAAAUCCCAGAGCACUCUGAUAUCACGCAAGCGAGACAUAGACUUCAUUCAAGAGGCAGUGAGACCUAUUCAGUGGAUGUCCAGUUUGCUGCAACUGUUUGAACUCGUCCCCACCUGCACCAGGGGUUCUAGUGUCCCAGCUCUGAGGCCUGGUCUAUACUACAGAGUUUGUUUAUUUGCAAGGCAGCUUAUGUUGACCUAAUUCUGUAAGCGUCUACACUAAAAUGUUGCUCCCACCGAUGUAACUUGCCCUCUCCGUCGACUUAGUAACUCCACCUGCACAAGAGGCAUAGUGCUUAGGUCAACAUAGUUUGGUUGACCCAAUCAGUGACACUGCGUUACUUAUGUCUACUUUAGUGGCUUCCAGGAGGUGUCCCACGAUGCCCCAUACGUAGCUGCUCUGGUCACCUUUUAGAACUCUGCUGCUUGGCAGUCAGGUAUGCAUGUACAUGGCCCUCCCCCUUUAAAGCCCUGCCAAUUUUAAAUUUUAUUUCAUGUUUGGUUGGUAUAGAGAGCUCACACAGCAACUGCCCAGCUGACCAUGCUGGCUCCACGCAGCAAAGGUGCUCUUGCCAGGAGCAUACAGCAGGUGGUGGAUCUCCUUGGUCUGGGGAGAAGAGGCUGUGCAGGCACAGCUCUGAUCCAUCCGUAGAAACAUUGACAUCCAUGGCCAGAUCGCUUGGGGCAUAGUGGAGAAGGGCUACAACAGGCACAUGCCGCAGUGCUAUGUAAAAAUCAAGGAGUUGCUGCAGGUGUACCAGAAGGCAAGGGAGGCAAACUGUCACUCUGGUGUGGAACCGCAGACAGGCUCCUUCUACAAGGAGCUGCAAGCCUUCCUUGGGGGAGACACCACCACCACAAGCCCCGUGGAUACUUCAGGGGAGCUGGAAUCAGCGGCCCCUGCAGUGUAUACUGAGGAGGAGGAGGAGUUUUGGAGGACAGGCGGCUGGGGGAAUGCAGUGGUGCAGUGAGCCAGGACCUCUUUCUGACCGCCGGAGCAGUCGAGUGAGUCCCUGCUAUCCAGCACCGGUGAGCCUGAUGCAGGGGAUGGAACUCUGCUGGAAAUGUGGCCUUGAGGGUCUCUUCAUCCACACCACUGGAGUGGCUCAGAUGAUGAGAAGAAAGGGGAUGAGGGACAACAUGUUCCAUGAGAUCCUGCAAGCCUCUGGUGUUGCACAUACUGAGCAGAGGGCUUGGAGGAGCACUCUUGUGGACAGAAUGGAAAGGGAUAGUGCAGAGAGGAGAAACACACAGGAAAAGGACAGACACACACAGCAGGUCAUGAUAGCACUUCUCAAGCACCAGAUGGACAUACUGGAGAUUCUUAUAGACCUUCGGGUCCAAGUAAUCCUUCCUUGCCUCCCGCUGCAGUCUAUCGAUAACUGCAUUCUGGGACCUCCCUAUGCUCCCUGCCCCUACAUUCCACAUAUAUUUUGGGGCCACUGCAGUACCCCUACCCUCUACCCCGAGGGAGAGUACACACAAUCAGAGCUGCAGGUACACUGACCUAUGAGAGACGGUGUAUUUGUGUUUUGAAAUGAGAAUGACUGUUCUUUCCCCUUUAAAGGUUCUUUUCCCUGUAUUUAUAUAGUUUCAUUCAGUUACAGUUAUUUUUGUUUGCAAGAGUUUGGAAUAAAAGUCUAUUUAUGGAAACUUAAUUCAU